rnacentral:rRNA from 1 species
UACAGAGGGUGCGAGCGUUGUUCGGAAUUAUUGGGCGUAAAGCGCGUGUAGGCGGUGAUGCAUGUCGGGUGUGAAAGCCCUCAGCUCAACUGAGGAAGUGCGCCCGAAACUGCAUCGCUGGAGUGCCGGAGAGGAAGGCGGAAUUCCCGGUGUAGUGGUGGAAUGCGUAGAUAUCGGGAGGAACACCAGUGGCGAAGGCGGUUGCCUGGAGCUUUGCUGACGCUGAUGCGCGAAAGCGUGGGGAGCGAUCCGG